GCAAGGUUCAGGGGAGUUUCGGUGCUGUCCGGGAAAAUUUUAUAAAUUCCAGAAAUAUAAUUACGAAGAAAUUCAUCGGUAGUGAUUUAAAAGUUUAACCUAAAACUUUGUGACACCUCAUAAUGCAUAGCGGCAUAAUGAACAAAACGGAAUAUUAUUAAAAAUUGAACAAUGAAACAAAAAAUGAUGUUGCUGGUGGUCCAAAAGAAUAAGAUAUUGCUUGUGAUCGAAAAUUGAGGAGCGCUGCAUGCCUCGUCGUCUUUUCUACCAAAGGAGCCAAGAAAGAACCCUUCUUCGAGGAGCACUAUCAUAUUUGAUUGAGACACAGUGCUAAAUUCAACUUCAAAUUACAGCUGAAAAAUUAAAUAAUGCCAAUUACUCGACAAGAACACUCAAAAAGGAUAUCCGGUUCAAGUAGAAGUAGAAGGUGUUAAACUCAUUAUGAUCUUCGAUCCUGUCCAUGUUCAUAAGAGUGUUCGAAAUAAUUUUGCCGUUAAGAACGUUCUAACAAACAUUGUUGAAGCUGGCAGAAAUUCUUCAGUUGAAAAAAAUUCGCCUCUUGGGAUGUUAUUCAAGAUGCAUUUGACAUGGACCAGCAUUGUGAUUCUCUUCACAAAAGAUUAACAAAAUUUACGGAAGAACACGUCAGACCCGGGAAAAUAAAAAAAAAUGAAAGUUCCUGUCUGCGUACAAACGCUUAGCGAAACUAUGGCUACACACAUUUUGGACGCUAUUCAUCUUGGUGGUAUAUAGUAUUAUUAUAAUAUAUAUAAUGUAUUCCACUAUGUAUUCCACUAUCCUUCCCCCAGUACCGGGGCAAGGAUAGUUACAAGAAUCCGAAUGCUAAAAAUGUCAUAGAAAAUCAGUAACUUUUCGUUUUCUUUAUUUUAUUGGAUUUAAACUAUUCAAUAUUGAUAUAUCAAGUAUUAACAACAUGUUUUAAACAUUCUAUAAAUAUCAAUUAUUUAUUGCAUUAAAAUUCGUCAGAACUAGAAUCUGAGGUUUAACCAAUUUUCUUCAGAUGAUCACCAAUUUCUUAGUCAAUAAGCUUCGUUCUGUAUAUAAUUACGUACCAUUAUGUAUAUCAACCUAAAAAGAAUAAUUAAACAUUUUUUGAUAAUUUGCA